rnacentral:rRNA from 1 species
GAUGAACGCUGGCGGCGUGCUUAACACAUGCAAGUCGAACGGAAAGGCUCCUGCUUGCAGGGGUACUCGAGUGGCGAACGGGUGAGUAACACGUGGGUGAUCUGCCCUGCACUUCGGGAUAAGCCUGGGAAACUGGGUCUAAUACCGGAUAGGACGAUGGUUUGGAUGCCAUUGUGGAAAGUUUUUCGGUGUGGGAUGAGCUCGCGGCCUAUCAGCUUGUUGGUGGGGUAAUGGCCUACCAAGGCGUCGACGGGUAGCCGGCCUGAGAGGGUGUACGGCCACAUUGGGACUGAGAUACGGCCCAGACUCCUACGGGAGGCAGCAGUGGGGAAUAUUGCACAAUGGGCGCAAGCCUGAUGCAGCGACGCCGCGUGGGGGAGGACGGCCUUCGGGUUGUAAACUCCUUUCGCUAGGGACGAAGCGCAAGUGACGGUACCUGGAGAAGAAGCACCGGCUAACUACGU